rnacentral:rRNA from 1 species
CGGACGGGUGAGUAACACGUGGGUAACCUACCCAUCAGAGGGGGAUAACACUUGGAAACAGGUGCUAAUACCGCAUAACAGUUUAUGCCGCAUGGCAUAAGAGUGAAAGGCGCUUUCGGGUGUCGCUGAUGGAUGGACCCGCGGUGCAUUAGCUAGUUGGUGAGGUAACGGCUCACCAAGGCCACGAUGCAUAGCCGACCUGAGAGGGUGAUCGGCCACACUGGGACUGAGACACGGCCCAGACUCCUACGGGAGGCAGCAGUAGGGAAUCUUCGGCAAUGGACGAAAGUCUGAC